GACGAACGCUGGCGGCGUGCUUAACACAUGCAAGUCGAACGGAAAGGCCCUGCUUUUGUGGGGUGCUCGAGUGGCGAACGGGUGAGUAACACGUGAGUAACCUGCCCUUGACUUUGGGAUAACUUCAGGAAACUGGGGCUAAUACCGGAUAGGAGCUCCUGCUGCAUGGUGGGGGUUGGAAAGUUUCGGCGGUUGGGGAUGGACUCGCGGCUUAUCAGCUUGUUGGUGGGGUAGUGGCUUACCAAGGCUUUGACGGGUAGCCGGCCUGAGGGGGGGACCGGCAACAUUGGGACUGGGGAACGGCCCAGACUCCUACGGGAGGAAGCAGUGGGGAAUAUUGCACAAUGGGCGGAGGCCUGAUGCAGCAACGCCGCGUGCGGGAUGACGGCCUUCGGGUUGUAAACCGCUUUCGCCUGUGACGAAGCGUGAGUGACGGUAAUGGGUAAAGAAGCACCGGCUAACUACGUG
rnacentral:rRNA from 1 species